rnacentral:misc_RNA from 1 species
GCUAUAUACGUAGUACGCAAUUUUACAUACGCAGUAAAUUUUGUUAUACAUCAAACCAUAUAUAAGUAAUGCAUAAUUCUUAUAGAUAGAUCAUAUUCAAACCAAAACAACCCCCAAGUGAAUGAAAAUGUUAGGGGCAAGAAAAGAAAUGCAGAUAUCAAGUAACAUUAUACGUCAAAGAAUGCAACUCUUAGCUACCUAGUUUUGCACUUCAAGAAAAGCUCUGAAAAUUCCAAGGGAGUAGUAUCCAGUAUCAGCAUUUAUGUUAAAAAUAUUCCGGGAGAUUAUAUGCUUAUCUUCAGUACUUUCGAAUCCAUAGUUUUCGAAGGGCAAAUGGCACAUAAUUUACUCAAUAUUUGAGUGCCAACUUCUUGGAACAAUCUGCCAAAUGAGCUAUCUGAGUGUGUUGAAAUGCUACGAACAGUGAUCCAACUUCCAUCUGCUGAAACCAACUAUUUUGUACUCUUAAGAUACUACUGCUUCUGUAUUCCAUGUGUCACCAAUCAAUGUGCCAACUCUCUCUCCUUUAAUGGCUUUGGCAAUGUUACCUGUUUUAUUGAGAUUAAAAACGACAACUGGAAUGUUAUUCUCUUGGCACAAAGUAAUCGCAGUAAGGUCCAUCACUGAGAGCUCUUUUGAAAUAACAUCAUGGUAAGUCAGGUUAUCCUGAAGACGAGCAUUAGGAUUAUGCUUAGGGUUAUCAUCAUAGACUCCAUCAACAUUUGUUGCCUUCAACACCACCUCAGCAUUAAUCUCUGCACAACGCAGUGCUGCAGCAGUGUCUGUCGUGAAGAAGGGAUUUCCAGUUCCUGCUGCAAAAAUUACUACUCUCCCUUUCUCGAGAUGCCUAACAGCCCUUCUACGGAUAUAUGGUUCAGCAACUUCCGACAUUCUAAAUGCAGUCUGGACUCUUGUGGGGAUUCCAAUGCUCUCCAUUGUAGCUUGUAAGAAUAUUGCAUUCAUUACAGUUGCCAACAUCCCAAUAUAAUCAGCAGAGGAACGAUCUAGUCCACUACUUCCUGCCCAGGAGGAUCCACGAAAAAUAUUACCUCCACCAACAACUAUUGCAACCUCGAUGCCAAGUCGAGUGACAGCUGCCACUUCCCUCGCAAUGGCCAUUGUGAUCUUUGGAUCAAUGUUUUGUGCUUGAUCUCCUGCUAGUGCCUCACCACUAACUUUAAGCAGUACCCUACGCCAUCUAUAUGAUGGUUUAGAUGUUCCAUUAUUUGUCAUUGUGACACCAAAAGAAGCUAUAGGAGAUAAAUCAGGUUGCCUGCCGUUGAUGUGUUCUGGAGAUUGUCCAAUGUGAGAGGAGCAACACUUGACUAGGGGCAAAGAAGGAUCAAGUUUCAAGUGGUUGUACAAGGGUUUGAAGUAACAGAGAGACGGUGAACUGAGAGCAUUGAAAGAGGAAAUGGGGCGGCAAAAGGAUGUAGAGAUAGCCAUGGAAAAGGGAUUCCACUUCUUCUUUGGCACUGUUGUAUGUAUGUGGAAUGUGG